rnacentral:rRNA from 15 species
GUGUCUCGAGCGACAGGGGUACACCUCUUCCCAUUUCGAACAGAGAAGUUAAGCCUGCCAGCGCCGAUGAUACUCAGGGCUAACAGCCCUCGGGAAAGUAGGCCGACGC